rnacentral:lncRNA from 1 species
UUUUCCAAGUCUUUUUCAAAAUUAAUAAAACAUUUCCUAAAUUAAAUUCACAAUCAAUUCAAUAUAAAUCUUUUAACUUAUCUAUUUCAUAUUAAACAUUAUAAACAUUAAUGAGUAUCAAUAAUAUAUACAAAAUAUUUAUGUAACAAUAUAAGUUACAUUUUGUCUCAUUCCCCCACCCCCAACAAUUCACGUUACUAUUCAUUUUUUUUUGGAACAAAUUCUUCUUCUUCCCAAUAUAAAUAUAUUACAUGCAUCAUUAUAAUUAUUUACCAACUUACCAUCUAUAUAAAAUAAUUUAUUAGACAUUAUCGUAAAAUUUUGAUCCACAAAAAAUAUAAUCUAUUAAAAGAGAAUUACAAAUUAAGACUAACCCUUAAAUUUGCACAAUAUUUACAACCUAAUGCCAUUGAAAUAAUUAAAUGAAUCUAUUUUAAGUAAUCUUUGUCUUUUCUAAAAUUAAUGAAGUAAUAACUACUCCUACUUCUAUGUUUUCCAUGUCCUUUUCAAAAUUAAUAAAACAUUUCCUAUAUUAAAUUCACAAUCAAUUCAAUAUAAAUCUUUUAACUUAUCUAUUUCAUAUUAACAUUAUAAACAUUAAUGAAUAUCAAUAAUAUACACAAAAUAUUUAUGAAACAAUAUAAGUUACAUUUUGUCUCAUUCUCCCCCACAAUUCACGUUACUCUUCAUUUUUUUUUUGAACAAAUUCUUCUUCUUACCAAUAUAAAUAUAUUACAUGCACC